rnacentral:rRNA from 1 species
CCUACGGGUGGCUGCAGUGGGGAAUAUUGGACAAUGGGCGAAAGCCUGAUCCAGCCAUGCCGCGUGUGUGAAGAAGGCCUUCGGGUUGUAAAGCACUUUCAGUGGGGAAGAAAGCCUUGGGGCUAAUACCCUCGAGGAAGGACAUCACCCACAGAAGAAGCACCGGCUAACUCCGUGCCAGCAGCCGCGGUAAUACGGAGGGUGCGAGCGUUAAUCGGAAUUACUGGGCGGAAAGCGCGCGUAGGCGGUCUGAUAAGCCGGUUGUGAAAGCCCCGGGCUCAACCUGGGAACGGCAUCCGGAACUGUCAGGCUAGAGUGCAGGAGAGGAAGGUGGAAUUCCCGGUGUAGCGGUGAAAUGCGUAGAGAUCGGGAGGAAUACCAGUGGCGAAGGCGGCCUUCUGGACUGACACUGACGCUGAGGUGCGAAAGCGUGGGUAGCAAACAGGAUUAGAUACCCGUGUAGC